CCUUUGAGUGGAAAUCACUAUGUUAACUCGGACCUGGAAGACAGUGAAUUUAGAAUGCCUUGUUGAUCUGAAUGUCUUCAUCACUGCAUUCGGGUAACAUACUUGCAGAAAAGUGCCCAAAUCAUUGGUGAAGAAGCUCAUGUGAACAGCAACUUGAUCAAGAGCCCAAGGAUACUGAAGACCAGCUCAUCAAGUUGGCAACAGGAAAGAUCAACAGUAAAAACCAGUACUAAUCUCCAUAGCAGAGGAGUGGUGACUAACAGCAUAAAUCUGUAACUUAGCAAACUCACUUAGAAAAACUGAACGUGAAUGAUCACAGCUCUUAUACACUGCUGUUUUUACCUGGUUUUUGAAGACCAAGUCAUCAAGAGAGACCUAGGUCAGGGACAAAAGACUUUGUUGCUAACAACAGCAAACAGCUGGAGCAUUUGCAUAUUUGGUGUCCUAUCUCCUCACUCUUCCUGGGUCACCAGGUGAUACCUGCAUGUACAAUAAGCUGUGUUGCAGCAUAGAAAUCCUGCACUUAGGCAACCUGAAGAUUUCAUACAGGACAAGAAGCAUGUGGGCCCAUUGUUUGAGAGAGAGACUCUAUCUUCCAUGACUAUUCACUACAAACAUCCCCCAUGACUGCUCACUAUGCAAAUAUCCUUGCAAAGGUAGUUUGGAACAAAAGCAGUUGAUGAGUCUACUUGCAAAACAUGCAGAAACGUGAGAGACAACAAUAUACUCCACUGAUUUUAAGAAAGUAAGUCAAUUGUGCACAACAAACUUUAUGAUUUUCUUCUUUUCAAGACUACAUCUUGCCUGGAAGAAACUCUGCCAGGAGAAGUUGCCACAUGGCAAAUUCUCAAUUUGGCAUGCCCUUGGGACUGUUAGCCACAUAUUUCAGGGCAGUGUGUCUUUUCUGCUGUGGUACUGAGAGCACAGCCCCUGUGAGCAAGUAUUGCCAAUGUUCUUCAGCUACAGUCAUUAUAGCUGAACAACUUGUAAAAAGUGACUCCUUGCUUAUUAUUUUCUCUCAUAUACUCUGUUUCAUAUUCUGUAGUACUGAAGGCAUUUGAUCCUAAGUAAGUAUAUCUAGCUAUCUGGUUACCCAGUGUUCUGGGGUAGAGCCUGAGAUGAUGAAGAAGAGAUUGCUGGAAAGGGCGUCUGACACAAUGGCCAAAUCAUAAACCAUAACUCCAUUAUGUCCUAUUUUCAUAUUGAAUAGGCAAUGAAAUUGUAUUACCUGUCUCUACAAUGGAAAGAAAAAUCAAUAUUUGCUGUUUUUUUCAUUUAAUGAAUGUCCUUCUUGAUCUGCCCUGCUGAUGCUACUCCCAACACUUUACAUUAGUAUGAUAGGAAACAGUGAAAUUUGUGAGAUGGGCCUGCAUCUUUAGAAGGUGAUUUCUCAUAUAAGUCAGUGAAUAUCAUUUUUAAACAAGUCAUUUGUCAUUAUGGCAAAAAAAAAAAAGUGCAUCAUCAGGAUAAAGCAACAUUAUGUUAUUGAGAAAAUAUUUCUUCUACCGCCUCCUAGAUUUCUGGGAAUUAUAGUUAAGCGUGUAUUGUGUAAUGGAAAAAGUGCUAGAUCUGGAAUUCACUUCAGCUCCGCACGACUUACUUAUGUGGUCUUGAUUAAGCCACUUAAUGUCUCUGACUGGCAGAUGUUGAUAUUUUAAAUAAGGAGAAUAAUCUUUGUUCUGUUCACCUCACAAAUUCAUAAUGAUUGUUAAAAUGAACAAUGUACUAUAUACAUAAGAAGGUGCUUUGGUAAUUGAGUCUGAUAUAACUGUAAAAUGGUGUUACAAUUACAGUCAUAUUUAAAUAAAG